UACAUAGGGGCCAAGCGUUAUCCGGAUUUAUUGGGCGUAAAGCGCGUGUAGGUGGUUGAUUAAGUCAGGUGUUAAAUUUGGAAGCUCAACUUCCAAUCGCACUUGAAACUGGUCAGCUUCGAGUUUGGGAGAGGAUAGCGGAACUCACAGUGUAGCGGUGAAAUGCGUAGAUAUUGUGAGGAACACCAGUGGCGAAGGCGGCUAUCUGGAUCAAUACUGACGCUGAGACGCGAGAGCAUGGGGAG
rnacentral:rRNA from 1 species